AAAGACUUGACGCUGAGAGUAUAAGUGACGAGGAGACUCAUCCAGGUUCUUCUGAGGACAACCUGGUUUAGUGAGACCACCACCAAGUGAAGAUGAUGAUGGCGAGGAUGAUGAUGAUGAUGAUGUCCAGAUUUUACCAUCACGUGUCCAGGCUUGGCCUGAGGACCGCUUGUUUUUAAGAUGC